CUAGGUGCACCUACCUAUCUCUGCCCUUCCCCCACUUUGCACCGGGAAUGGGGAGAAGAGGAAAGCAGAAUGGAAGGGAAGGGAAAGAGGUGAUAGAAGGGAGAUGGGUAAUGGAGGAGAGUGUCAUUAAUCAGUGUUAAUUCGCUAAGUGAACAUGCACUGAGCACCCCGUACUGGCUGAGCAGAGUGCCUGUUAAUAAGACAAGUUGCUUGUCCGAGACAGGCACGUUUGGCUUAAGAAAAUAGAGUCACUGGCGAACAACUACUGUCCUCACAAAAGGGAAUAAUUAGCACAAACCAAAGUGCAGAGAACACAGAUGGGGGGGACCUCCCAAGGGGGAAGGCUUUUCAGACAAGGUGCCUUCUGACCCCAAUGCAAGCAGUACACAAGUGUUCUUAGGGUGGCUAAGAGUAAAAAAGGGGGGGGGGGAGCAGGUAUGAGUCCAAGCAAGGACACCACAGAAGUGUGACAGGUGGAGUGAUGCUCAGAGAAGCCCUGGUGCUUCCGAGAGAGCGGUGGAAGAGGAUGCAUGGUGAAGACCAUGAGAGUAGGAGCAGAAGGGCAGGUAGCUUUGACAGCACACUGGGCUCAGCAUUAGGACAGGGAGCAAGGAGGCGAGAGGUAUCCUAUGUGGGAAGGAAGGAGGCAGGUAAAAAAAAAAAAUAACCAGGACCACACAAGGCUCCCCAAUCCAAGGGACCAUUCUUCAUAGCAAAACAUAUGAGGUUCUCAUCAACUCCAAUAAAUCAUGAAUUGGGUCUUCAGGUGCUUUUUACUGUGACUAUGGAUUAUCAUCGUAGGCCACCAGAAGAGUUUCUCUGACUUCUCUGUCUCUGUAGAUUAUCAGUCCCAGCGCAUACAAUUCGAAUACGAGAGCGAUGGCCAAGAGCCAUGGGGUGAAGGUUUCGAAACCUAGGGGAGUGCCGUCUGUCUGGCCACUCAGGGUAGACAAGCGAGGGGGUUAACUGCCAUCCUCCCGACUGAACAAUGUCGAAGCCCUCUGUCCGGCUCACCUCCUGCACAGCAGUUUGAACAGUUGGGCUACAUUAGCGUGGGUGCCGAGGAGGCUGACCUUCAUUUAUAAGCUCAGUCCAUUCAUCUCUAUGGCAUCUCCAGGAGUUGUUAACUGCUUUGGGAAAGUCACAGAGGAGCACUUGAUAUCCUUGGGGGACAGAGCGAAGACCAGGCCAGAAUGAAUGGAGGAGCCUCUUGCCGGCUCUGAACCAACUUCAGGGCAGUUUAGCCACUGACCUCAUAACAGACGUGACUUUCUGGGACCCUGAUGCUACUGGCUGAAGAUUCCUUUCUCACGUGUGCUAUGUGCCUCCCUCUCCCAGCUCCAUUUCCUCAAGGGCUUUUUGGCCCUGAACAGCAGGAUUUAAAAGAAAUAACAGCAUAGCCAGUCAAACCACCAGCACCAAAACACCAUCCGAUUGACCAGAACCAAGCAGGGAGAAGUGCUCAGGAAAAAUAAGGUACUCACUCCUACUGAGAGAAGGAAUGGGAAUCAGACUGUUUGGGUGGGAAGAGGGCCAGCCGGAGAACGCCUGGAUCCCCAACUGGAACAGCACGGUGAUGAGGGGAGGACGCUGCCGGGAGACACAUCUGCCUUAGACCAGAUGUUCUUAUUAAUACGGUUUUCUAUCCCAAUUUAAAAAAACCCAGCUAGGGCAGCCCGGGUGGCGCGGUGGUUGAGCGUC